rnacentral:rRNA from 1 species
AGAAGAGGACAGUGGAACUCCAUGUGUAGCGGUGAAAUGCGUAGAUAUAUGGAAGAACACCAGUGGCGAAGGCGGCUGUCUGGUCUGUAACUGACGCUGAGGCUCGAAAGUAUGGGUAGCAAACAGGAUUAGAUACCCUGGUAGUCCAUACCGUAAACGAUGAAUGCUAAGUGUUGGAGGGUUUCCGCCCUUCAGUGCUGCAGCUAACGCAUUAAGCAUUCCGCCUGGGGAGUACGGCCGCAAGGCUGAAACUCAAAGGAAUUGACGGGGGCCCGCACAAGCGGUGGAGCAUGUGGUUUAAUUCGAAGCUACGCGAAGAACCUUACCAGGUCUUGACAUACUAUGCAAAUCUAAGAGAUUAGACGUUCCCUUCGGGGACAUGGAUACAGGUGGUGCAUGGUUGUCGUCAGCUCGUGUCGUGAGAUGUUGGGUUAAGUCCCGCAACGAGCGCAACCCUUAUUAUCAGUUGCCAGCAUUAAGUUGGGCACUCUGGUGAGACUGCCGGUGACAAACCGGAGGAAGGUGGGGAUGACGUCAAAUCAUCAUGCCCCUUAUGACCUGGGCUACACACGUGCUACAAUGGAUGGUACAACGAGUUGCGAACUCGCGAGAGUAAGCUAAUCUCUUAAAGCCAUUCUCAGUUCGGAUUGUAGGCUGCAACUCGCCUACAUGAAGUCGGAAUCGCUAGUAAUCGCGGAUCAGCAUGCCGCGGUGAAUACGUUCCCGGGCCUUGUACACACCGCCCGUCACACCAUGAGAGUUUGUAACACCCAAAGUCGGUGGGGUAACCUUUUAGGAACCAGCCGCCUAAGGUGGGACAGAUGAUUAGGGUGAAGUCGUAAACAAGGUAGCCGUA